CCUUUUAAGUUAUUUUUACUGUUUUUAUUGCAUGUAUGUAUGACGUGUGAUUGCCAGUGCACGUGUGCCAUUGCAUGUGUGUGAAGGUCAGAGGACAGCUUCUAAGUGGCUUCUGGGUCUAACUCAGGUCAUUAGGCAUGUGUGGUUGGUUUUAACUGUCACCUUGAAUCACAAGGGAAGAGGGAGUCUCAAGAAAAUACUUUCCAGGUCUGCUUGGCCUGUGGGCACAUCUGUGAGGCAUCGUCUUUUUUGAUGAGGGACAAUUAGGCCCACUGCGACUAGCAUCAGUCCCUGGGACUGGGCUCUGGAUUGCCUGAGAGUUGAGAGGGUUUGAAUCUACUUUCUCUCUGCCUUUGCCUGUAGUUGAGACAAGCAUCAUGGUGGAUCUCCUGUUACCUUGAUAUAAUGUUUACUGUAAUCUGGGACUGUGAGCCAAAAUAGACCCGUCCUCCUUUAAGUUGCUUUUGACAGGGUGUCUUAUCACAGCAACAGAGAUGGCAAGCACCUUACCUUUUGAGCCAUUUUAUUUGUGCUACAUAAUCCCUUUUUAAGAAGUACCAUGGAGUGUCUCAGAGCCACAUUAGAGUGAGUAACUGUAACAUGUCAUCUUACCAGUGUGUACUUUGCAGUUCAAAAGGGGGCUCAUGGGAGAGAGAGAGCCUUAGGCAUAGCUGAAGGUUCUGCGUGGGGCCCACAGGAGCAUGUUAGUUCUCCCACUUAUCUCUUAUGUGCAGUUAUGUGCUUAUGUCAGAUGACUUUGCAAAUAAAAAUUCAGACUAACUGGUAGCAUCGGACUUCUACUCCUGUACAACAGGAGCUGUCUGGAGCCACGACAUGGCCAAUUUUGCUGGAUUAGCAGAAUCUUGGACCAAAGAGUGCUACACAGGCCUUGAAAUCCCUGCUCCGUUACAGCUGAUGCUGAGGGUGGCAAUGUCUCUGAAAGACUGCUCUACACUUCUGCCUCUGUAUGCCUCAGGAGGGAUUGAAGGUAACAUCUAAGUGUAAGGGUGAUAGUUGCCUUGGGCCACUGUAAGACAUGGCCUCUGGGGACAAAGGCAAGGAAUCCAUAUGGCUUCCCCAUUUCGAUCCUUCCCUAAAGUUCCUAUCUUCAUAUAGUAAGAACGGUCAGACUCGAUGGCUGAGCUCCCCACUGGAUUCACUGUAAGUGCCAGCCACA